GAGGACAGCAGCUGAGCAUUUUACUUCACUUCACUUUUAUAUCAACAACAAUGCUGUCAUUAUCAGUGUUGCUGCUGCUUUCAGCUGCAUUCUGUGGUGUUGGAGGUGUGGAGCUCACUCAGACAGACUCUGUGCUGGUGAAGCCUGGAGAGUCGUUCUCCAUCUCUUGUAAGAUCUCAGUGUCGAGUUAUUGUAUUAACUGGAUACGGCAACCUGCUGGAAAAGCACUGGAAUGGCUCGGAUAUCUGUGUAGCAGUGAUAGCACUAAUCUCAAAGACACGAUGAAGAGCAAGAUCAGUUUCAGCCAGGACAAAUCCAGCAGCACAGUUUAUUUAAGAGGACAAAACUUUCAGGUCGAGGACACGGCUGUGUAUUACUGUGCCAGACACACAACACUACAAACUCACUGAAGUCCUGUACAAAAACAUCCCUGGUCAUUUUCCUCUC